rnacentral:snRNA from 1 species
GGACGUGAGGGAGAUCUGGCUGUGACAUCUGUCACCCCAUUGAGUGCCACGGUUGAUUUGGGCCAAUCUGGCUGGCUAGGUGGGUGUUCCCUUCUUCCCUCACCACUCUAUAUGUGUCCCUCCCAAAGCUGCAUGCUCAGUCGAAGAGGGUGACCUUUCCCGAUAAGAGGAGGACCAUUCUUUGGUCAAGGGUAUACGAGUAGCUGUGCUCCCCUGCUAGAACCUCUAAUCUCUCAGAAUGAAAAAUAAAGAUCAUAUGAUCAUUUCAAGAGAUGCAGAAAAAAGCAUUCAAUAAAAUCCAGCAACCUUCAUGAU